CCUACGGGAGGCAGCAGUAGGGAAUCUUGCGCAAUGGGCGAAAGCCUGACGCAGCCAUGCCGCGUGAAUGAUGAAGGUCUUAGGAUUGUAAAAUUCUUUCACCGGGGACGAUAAUGACGGUACCCGGAGAAGAAGCCCCGGCUAACUUCGUGCCAGCAGCCGCGGUAAUACGAAGGGGGCUAGCGUUGCUCGGAAUUACUGGGCGUAAAGGGAGCGUAGGCGGAUAGUUUAGUCAGAGGUGAAAGCCCAGGACUCAACCUUGGAACUGCCUUUGAUACUGGCUAUCUUGAGUACGGGAGAGGUGUGUGGAACUCCGAGUGUAGAGGUGAAAUUCGUAGAUAUUCGGAAGAACACCAGUGGCGAAGGCGACACACUGGCCCGUUACUGACGCUGAGGCUCGAAAGCGUGGGGAGCAAACAGGAUUAGAUACCCUGGUAGUCCACGCCGUAAACGAUGAGUGCUAGUUGUCGGCAUGCAUGCAUGUCGGUGACGCAGCUAACGCAUUAAGCACUCCGCCUGGGGAGUACGGUCGCAAGAUUAAAACUUAAAGGAAUUGAGG
rnacentral:rRNA from 1 species